CAAUUUUUUUACUCACUUCCCUAAAUUACCCUUCCCAAUUCUAACUUUUUACGGGAAGUUACAUUAUUAUUAUUAUUUUUUUACAGAGAGAGAGAGAGAGAGAGAGAGAGAGAGAGAGAGAGAGAGUCUCCCACCCUGAGUUUCCCAACGAGGCUCUUCUUUCCUUUUAGUCUGUGUCUCAUGCAGUGCAGAGCACGAAAUUCAAAGAUUUUCUGAGACGCUUUAUAGAUAUCACAGUUUUCGCUGUCGCUUUCAAUCUCUCUCUACUUUAUUUAUUUAUUUAUUUUUUUCCUCCUUCUCUCUCUUCCUUUCACUAACUCUAAUGGCUACUACCUUUCCAGCCUCUGCAUAGCUCUUGUCCCUCUCUCUCAUUCUCUGUUCCGGCUAAAAAAAAAGUUUGAAAUUCCGACCAAACUCGCCGGAAUCUAUUCUCCAUUACCGACUUUGAGGUUCGAAGAUUGUUCAGAGUUUUGUUUGGAGGUCUUCCCGGAUAGCAGGACAAAAGUAACCAGGUUUAAUCUUGAGAGACAGAUUGAACAGAUGCUUUUGGGAAACAAUAUUUGUGCCUGUGGAAUAUGAUCUAAAUUGGUGAGGUUGAAUUAUUUGCCUACAUUACAUGAGACAUUGUUGGAUAAAAAGAAAGGAAAAGAGAAGAAGAAGAAGAAACUAAAAUAUAUUACUUAUUUUCAGGGUGAUCAUUUGAGAGAUUUCAGCUACCGGCUAAUUAAGGAUGGUGUCCAAAAGGCAUUUAUAUGAUUCCAAGCAUCCAUUUAGUCCUUAUCCCUUUGAAGCUCUUUACUGUGGCUCGUGGAAAAGUGUGGAGCUUGUAAGUAUUAGGAAUGGGACUAUGGGUGUGAAGUUUGUGGACAAUCAAUAUGUGAUUCAGGAGAAAGGUCCACUUUCAGAUAUUCGGAUUAAGUCGAGACAAGCAACACUGUCCGACUGCACCUGCUUUUUGAGGCCCAGUGUUGAUAUAUGUGUUCUUUUAGACCCCCAACAAGAAGAAAGUUCAGAUAAGGCGUGGGUUGAUGCUAGAAUAAGUUCUAUUGAGAGGAAGCCUCAUGAAUCAGAAUGCUCAUGUCAGUUUUUUGUUAACUUAUAUAUUAAGCAAGGUCCUCUUGGUUCAGAGAAAGGAACACUUAGUAAAGAGAUUGUGGUUGUAGGAAUUAAUCAGAUUUCCAUCCUCCAAAAGCUUGAUCGAAACUAUUGUGAAGAUCAGUAUUACCGGUGGGAUUUUUCUGAGGACUGCUCUUUGCUGCAAAAAACGAAGUUGCUUUUAGGGAAAUUUUUAUGUGAUAUUUCUUGGUUACUUGUUGCAUCAUCAAUAAAGCAUAUUGCAUUUAAUGUAAGAUCAAUGCAAAAUAAAAUUAUGUACCAAAUUUUGGAAGGUGUUGAUGACUCGUGUAGUUCUUUAAGAGCAGUGAAUUUUAGAGUAGAGAAUAAUAUUCCGGUAGCUACAGUAGUUCAGUUUGUUCCAGCUGAUUCAAUUUUGGCAUAUCCUGCUUGUGACGAGCUUGAAGCCGGAUCAUCAUCCUUUUCUGAUAUUGGCUUGAGGCGUUCGAAACGCAGAAAUUUGCAACCUGAUCGAUUUUUGGGCUGUGAUAAUGCAUCGGAGAUAGAUAUUGGCAACUUCCGUUCAAGGCCAUAUAAGAUAGAUCUUUCACAAGAUGAUGAAAUGUCAUUGCCGCUGUCAUGCCUCUUUCGUGUUAGAGCCAGACGUUCGGAAGUACAUGCUAAGGAUGAAAAAAGAGUUGUUAUUUAUAAAGAAGUUUCCUCUGAGAAUCUUCUUGAGUUCAAAAGCAACACUGAGUCGGUGAAUGUGAAAUCAGGUGUGACUAAGCGAAAAAAGCGUCGUGCUCAACUUGCAAUUACUCCUAUAUCUGACAAAAGUGAAGCAAUAAAUCUUGAAUAUUCUCAUCUCCAUGCCAAGAGUACCCCAAUUCAUGCAAAAAAGAAUAGUGAAAUUUCUCUCCAAUAUUAUUAUAACAACAAGUCUAGAGUAAGACGGAAGCAUACUUCUGACUUUGAAGAUAUAGAGCUUGAUAGUAUAUGGGAAGGAAAAACACCCAAAAGAAGAGGUCGAAAGAAAAAGUAUCAUUCUUCCAAUUUCAAGAGUCCUACUGAAGAACGAACCUAUCAAAAGAGAACCCUAAGUGCCGGUGCAUACAAGGAAAUGAUAAAUUCAUUCUUGAAAAACAUGGAUUGCACAAGCAAUCAAGAGCAGAAUAUAACUGACCAGUGGAAAGAAUCUAAAGCAAGUGGAACUGAAGCAGCACCAACUGAGGAAGAGGAAGAAAUGUCAGAGACUGAAAUGUUGUGGAAAGAAAUGGAACUAGCUUUGGCCUCAACUUAUCUUACCGAUGAUGAUGAGGUUUCAAACGUUGGUGUGUCAAGAGGGACUGUUCCAAUGUCAUUUGCAGGUUGCCAGCAUGAGUACAAAAUAGAUGAAGAAAUUGGGAUUUUGUGCCGUAUAUGUGGUUUUGUCCUCACAGAAAUAAGAGAUGUUUCGCCACCUUUUAUGCAAAAUGCAGUCUGGAAUGCAGAAGAUAAAAGGUUGAAUGAAGAAGAUUUAGAGCAUAAAGCCAAUGAAGAUGAAGGAAUGAAUAUUAAGCGUAAACAAGAUUCUGUGGAUGAACCUUUAUCAGGGGAAAAUGAGAAUGUUUGGGCAUUAAUACCUGAACUAAGAAAGCAAUUACACUUGCACCAGAAAAAAGGUUUUGAAUUUCUGUGGAGAAAUGUUGCAGGGUCUUUGAUACCGUCAUCUAUUGACCCAAAAUCCAAGAAAACAGGUGGUUGUGUGAUAUCUCAUUCGCCUGGGGCAGGAAAAACUUUUCUUAUCAUUGCCUUCCUGGUCAGCUACCUAAAGUUAUACCCUGGAAAACGACCAUUGGUUCUUGCUCCAAAAACAACACUCUAUACCUGGUAUAAAGAAUUUAUCAAGUGGAAAAUUCCUGUACCAGUUUAUUUAAUUCAUGGUCGAAGGACCUACAGAGUAUUCAAGCAGAAAUCAGUGUCCAUUCCAGGGUACCCAAAGCCAAGUGAUGAUGUCAUGCAUGUUUUGGAUUGCUUAGAGAAAAUACAGAAGUGGCAUUCUGACCCAAGUGUUCUUGUCAUGGGCUAUUCUUCUUUUCUCACAUUGAUGCGAGAAGACUCAAAAUUUGUACAUAGAAAAUUUAUGGCUAGAGUUUUGAGGGAAAGUCCUGGAAUCCUGAUACUUGAUGAAGGGCAUAACCCCAGAAGUACUAAAUCAAGGUUGAGGAAGGUUUUGAUGAAAGUUGAGACUGAACUGAGAGUACUGCUUUCAGGUACAUUAUUCCAAAACAACUUCUGUGAAUAUUUUAACACCCUUUGUUUGGCAAGACCAAAGUUUGUCAAUGAAGUGUUGAAGGCAUUAGACCCAAAAUACAAGAAGAAGAAAGUGGCAAAAAAGGCUCGCAACUUGUUAGAAGCUCGAGCAAGAAAGUUCUUCUUGGAUAAGAUUGCAAAGAAAAUUGACUCAGUUGAAGGAGAAGAGAGAAUGCAGGGUCUAAACAUGUUGAAAAACAUUACAAACGGGUUUAUAGAUGUUUAUGAAGGUGGAGGUUCCGAUACCCUUCCUGGUCUGCAAAUUUACACCUUGUUAAUGAAUUCAACUGACAAACAGCAUGAGAUUUUGGUGAAACUGCAUGAAAUAAUGUCGACGUACCAUGGAUAUCCUUUGGAACUGGAGCUUUUGAUAACCCUUGGUUCAAUACAUCCUUGGUUGGUAAAAACCGCAGUCUGUGCUAAUAAGUUUUUCAGUAACAAGGAACUCAUGGAAUUUGAGAAGUACAAGUUUGAUUUAAAGAAAGGUUCCAAAGUGAAAUUUGUCUUAAACCUUGUUUAUCGCGUUGUUAGGAAAGAGAAGAUCUUGAUCUUUUGUCAUAACAUUGCACCUGUUAAAUUAUUUGUAGAAUUGUUUGAAAGUGUCUUUGGUUGGAAGAGAGGCAGAGAAGUUCUGGUCCUUACGGGGGACCUUGAGUUAUUUGACAGAGGAAGAGUGAUGGAUAGAUUUGAGGAACCAGGUGGACCUUCAAGAGUUCUUCUUGCUUCAAUUACUGCUUGUGCUGAAGGAAUUAGUCUAACGGCAGCUUCCCGCGUAAUCUUGCUGGACUCAGAAUGGAAUCCUUCCAAGACAAAGCAAGCCAUUGCUCGAGCUUUCCGUCCCGGUCAGCAAAAGGUGGUUUAUGUGUAUCAGCUGUUAGCAACAGGCACUCUGGAAGAAGAUAAGUAUCGUCGGACAACUUGGAAAGAAUGGGUGUCAAGCAUGAUAUUCAGUGAGGCAUUCGUGGAGGACCCUUCUAGUUGGCAAGCAAAUAAAAUCGAAGAUGAUAUUCUUCGUGAGAUGGUGGCUGAAGACAGGACUAAAUCAUUCCAUAUGAUAAUGAAAAAUGAGAAGGCUUCAACCGUGAUCAGAGAAAUGAAAGAUGAUAAUGAAAACGAGAAGGCUUCAACUGUAAUCAGAUUAAUGAAAGACUAACCUAACAGAUAGCGUUUUCAAGUUGAAUUCUUGGACAGAGAAAGGGGCUUGAAGGAGAGAUUGUGAAUUUUUGGGGUCAAAAAAACGAGAUUGCUGGGAUAUGCUGACUCAAUAAGACAGCGAAAUUUCCAGGAGGUAGUGUUCACAAUGCCAUGUUUUCCAGAUAAUUUGAGAGGUAACUCACACGAGGUAAAUUUUAAUAUAUUUAUGAUCAAAGAUCAUCUGCUUAAUUAAAGGUACUUAAUUGUUCCAAAAGCAAGAGAAAAAACAACAAAAAUGCUACACGACAAAGUUGUUAUUCAUCAGCCCUGUUGAUGAAUAGCGAUACUAGAAAAAAAAUAAUUGUAAAUUGAAUUUUGAUAAGGAAACACGCAAUGAAUUUUUAUUGCAAGUGAUAAAUAAUGAAUAAUUUGUCACCCAUGGUUGCUUGCAAUGGCAAGCAUGUAAAGCCAUUUAAUUCAAUUCCGAAAAUUUAGACGUAUGUUGGAUA